UACGGAGGGUGCGAGCGUUGUCCGGAAUCACUGGGCGUAAAGGGCGCGUAGGCGGCGCGAGCAGUCGGCGGUGAAAGCCCGGAGCUCAACUCCGGGUCGGCCGUCGAUACUCUCGUGCUUGAGCACUGUAGAGGCAGGUGGAAUUCCGGGUGUAGCGGUGGAAUGCGCAGAUAUCAGGAGGAACACCGGUGGCGAAGGCGGGUCUCUGGGCAGUAACUGACGCUGAGGAGCGAAAGCGUGGGGAGCGAACAGG
rnacentral:rRNA from 1 species